GCAAAACCUGCAGAGCCGAUAAGCAGCGUCACUGACGACAUCGACGCCCUCCUGGAGGAAUUACUGGAGGAAGACUGCGAUGAUUCCCCUCAACUAAAGACUCAGCAGUUUCCCAAAGAAUCACAAGAGGAGAAAAGACUGUCGUCUCAGUCUGGAGGGAGAAAGUGCUGUCCUGUGUUCGUUGGCGGGAGCUCUGUCACAAAUGGCGUGGGAACGGCCACAUCCAAGAGGU